ACACACCCACACACCACCGACACACACUCUCUCUCACACACACACACACACACACCACCAACACACUCUCUCUCUUACACACAUACACACACACAUUUUCUAAGCUGCUCAUCCUUCAGGUUACAGGGGAUGCUAGAGUCUAUCUCAGUGCUCACUGGGCAAAAAGCAGGCAGCAUUUGGACAGAUCACCAGUCCAUCACAGCAGACCAGAAGAUCUAAAUAAUUAAACAGGAAAAAAAAUCUAAACAUUUCGUUUUUUGUUAGAUUUUUUUAUUUUAUUUUAUUUUAUUAUUAUUAAAAAGUAAUAUCUAUAAUAUGGAAACAUGGAACAUCGGAGAUGUAUUCACAUAAAACCUCAAAAUUAAGAUAAGAGCAAAAGCUCUAUGCUAAAUGAUUAGAAGAUGAAGAAAUGAGGCAUGACAGCAGUGCACUGUGACUGAGUGUAUGAGCUGCAUUAUGGGUGGAGCUGUGUAUCUCAGCAGAGAGCUACACUGAUCCCAUUCAGCUCUGACUGCUCUCAGUCACUUCACAUCUCUAUCAACAUGCUGCUCUCUAUCCUUUCUCUCCUAGCCCUGCUUUUAGGAGACACAUCAGCACAGACAGUUGUACCACUGGAGGGAGAAAUUCAUGUUUCAGAGGGCGAUAAUGUUACUCUCUCCUGCAACUACAGUAACCAGUAUGGUAGUGAUGUUCUUCAGUGGUAUCGUCAGUUUCCCAGAUCCGGACCAGAGUUUCUCCUGUCUAUUAACCUAUAUGCGUCUAAGAGUGAUCCUCCUCCUCGAAUGUCUGUUGAACUUGAUCAAGACAACAAGCGUGUGGAUCUGAUAAUCUCCACUGCUGCUGUAUCAGACUCUACACUCUACUACUGUGCCCUGCAGCCCACAGUGACAGGAAACCCAGCUACACUGUACAAAAAGCCCUUAAAUAGAACCUCAAACAUUAGGUACUGUUCAAAGCCUGUGAAUGAAUAAGGUUAUUUUUCUCUGAAUGUAACUACAGUAUGAAGACUUGAAACUUUCAUUUAUACUAUAUGCCAAACUGAAGAGAUCUUAUAUUCAAACUGGCAUUCUUACAUUUCUCUGGAGUUUCGAUGAUACAGAUUAACAUAUUUAAUUCUCUGCAUUUUUAGGACCACAAUUCUGAACUAAAACAACAAUACUGAGUCACAUAAGUCAGUUUAAAAUCUAUAUUGUCUCUAUAUGUUGUGUAUAGGUCUCUAUAUGCUGUGUAUAUUUUCUCUAUAUUUUGUAUAUAUU